UUUCCCCCUAGAUAUUUUUAAAUGCAGAUACCAUCCGGCUGGGAAAUCUACCAACCGGCUCCUAUUCAUCUUCUUCAACCAGCUCCUCAAGUUCUCGACAGACAGUGUACGAACUCUGUGUCUGCCCCAAUGGCAAACUUUACCUUUCUCCAGCAGGGGUAGGUUCCACUUGUCAGUCCAGUAGCAACAUCUGCUUGUGGAGCUGAAGUGACUGAUUUCUCCUCACACCAGAAUAGCCUUUUGUUCCUGUCCGUCUGCUUCACACUUCUGCUCGGUUUCCCUUGUGAUCAGUCCAGAACUUCUUCCGAUGGUCCACAGAGCGACUUCUUCCAGUAUAAGCAGGGAUCCGCCACCACCUUCUCUUGUGAUUUACCAGACUGCUCAACACAGAGAGUGUGAGUGACAUAGCAGUGGAAACAUCAUCUUCAACAGGAAAACUGGAUCAUAACUUUUGCUCAAAAGGGAGAAUAACAUAGGUGCCUUUGCUACAUGAAGUGAAGCACACAGUUUUAGAUUUUUGCAGAACCUGGAUAUGAACUGCACAUAAAUAUACAUCACAUAGAUGAAAUUCCCAGUAUCCAAUGGCAAGAUGAAAUGGUUAACCCUGUAAGAAAACUAAUUCUACAGUUUGAAAGCACAAUUUUCCAUUCAUCUUUUUGGAUGUAAACUUUUAUCCCCGAAUUUUAAAAUUUUGAAGCAUUAUGUAAUGCUUGCUUUACUAAAAAUUAAAUUCGAUACAUGAUUUUUAACAAAACAAAACAAAAGAAGACAGAAUCCCUCCCUGAGUUUUGUUUCUUUAAAUCCAAUGUGUUGUUACUCUUUGUCUACUAAGUCUAGAAUUUUGUACAUUAGGUAAUUUUGAAAGCACUCAGCAAUAUAAUCUUUACAGAAUUAACAAAAUGCCAUUAUCCUGUCAUUUGUCAUAUCUGGAUGGCCUUAUAUAGUAUUUACUUGGCUAUUGCAUGUGACGUAUUUGCUUUUAACAAAACAUCUAAUUUAUUGCAAGAUAAGAUAGGAUUAAGAGGGAAAUAUCGAUGAUGUGGAAUCCAUAGAUCAUUUCCUUAAAAAUUCACAUGCUACCCUUUACACCUAAAUUUUAAUAGUACAUUUUUGUUUGCUCCAUUCACUUUAUACUUGACUUGGAUUGCUAAAAUUCAAACAUCAUCUAAAUAAAUACUAAUAUGAUACAUAAUGCUGAGAAUGGAUUCACUUUCCAUUGGGAUAUCAUCUUCAGAGUUUUCACUUUUUAAAAUUGAAGGUUUAAGGAGAUUAUAAAUUAAAUAAAAAAAAAAUUC
rnacentral:lncRNA from 1 species